rnacentral:lncRNA from 1 species
CAGGCGCUCUGCCCCGCCGUGGGGUUUUGGGGGUGCUGUGGAGAAGGCAGGGCUCGGGACUCUUCCACCUCCUUGGCUGCUCUGGCCUUUGAGUUAUGCUCUAAGAUUAUCGAUUACUUUUCCGUUGUUGCUUAUUUCCCACAGCAGCAGAAUGAGAACGGUUAUUAGUUAAUAGCCAUCAGAGACAGACCAAGUGGAACACAGUCCUCGGAAAAACGCCACUCUGUAGCAUUAGUAAUUAAAACCUCACAAGACUUCUCAGUCCUUUAUGUGGAGCUGGGGGCAGGAAGAAUUGCUUCUGGAAGCUGAUGGAGUUGGACAUGUGGCUUUCUAGAAUCUGGAUGUGAUGGUGCAGGAAAAACUCCUGCCCAUUGAGAGGGCUCCGUAAGUGCUUCCCAAAAGAGAAUGAGAAGGAAAAGGAGAUCUCCACAGGAACUGCCUCCUUGGAUCCAGGGCAAAAAUGAACCUCCUAUUGGAGAGAAGUGCCCAGCUUGUCAAGAAGUUGAAUCGGUGCAACCAGCGUUUGUGAAAGCAGCAUUUCCCAUUUCACAUAAAGUCAGCUUCUGGCCAACUGGACAAGUCUGAACAAAUAUGAAACCCACUAAAAGGCCAGUGACAGGUGCACACACUACUGACUCUGGCUAGAGGCUGUGGCAGGAAUUGGACUCAUGUCAUCCAGCGACAGUUCCACCAGCAUCUCUUGUGGCUUCCCAAGGACCAGCCUGAGGCAAACUCCUCAGUGGUGUGAAGACUUUCCAUGUCACUGGAAACCCACCACAGAGUUCUACCAAGUAACCAUGCCUCCACCAGUCCACAACAAACUUUUAAGGCCUCUCCAGUUAUGCCUGCAACCAUCCCACAUUAGCAACCUAAGUAGGCCACCAGUAGAGCUGGUCAAGAGAAAGGAUAGGUUCAAUUAAUUAUUUUUUAAUUAAAAAAAAAUAGAGACAGGGUCUUGUUAUGUUGCCGAGGCUGGUCUUGUACU